rnacentral:sRNA from 1 species
CCCUAGCCCCGAUAGAAACGGCAUCCUUUUGGGUUGCGGCCGGAGUAUAAAUUGAAAAUUUACGAACGCAGUUCAGGAGGCCGUAACCCAAAAGAUACAGUGGAUAGCGGGAUCAGCU